rnacentral:tRNA from 1 species
GGCCCAGUAGCUCAGGUGGAUAGAGCGACUGCCUCCUAAGCAGUAGGUCGUGCGUUCGAGUCGCGCCUGGGUCA